CGGUUGAUCCCGCCGGACCCUACUGCUAUCGGGGUGGGACUAAGACAUGCAAGUCGUGCGUCUCUAAGCCAUGGUAGAGACGCGGCGUACGGCUCAGUAACACGUGGCUAACCUACCCUUAGGACGGGGACAACCCCGGGAAACUGGGGCUAAUUUCUGAUAGGUGAGGAGGCCUGGAAUGGUUCUUCGCCGAAAAGGCGUUGAAACCACGCUUUUCAACGUCGCCUAAGGAUGGGGCCGCGCCCGAUCAGGUUGUUGGUGAGGUAACGGCUCACCAAGCCUAUAACCGGUACGGGCCGUGAGAGCGGGAGCCCGGAGAUGGGCACUGAGACAAGGGCCCAGGCCCUACGGGGCGCAGCAGUCGCGAAAACUCCGCAAUGCGCGAAAGCGUGACGGGGCUACCCCGAGUGCCGUCCGCUGAGGAUGGCUUUUCCCCGGUGUAAUGAGCCGGGGGAAUAAGGAGAGGGCAAGACUGGUGUCAGCCGCCGCGGUAAUACCAGCUCUCCGAGUGGUAGGGACGAUUAUUGGGCUUAAAGCGUCCGUAGCCGGCUUAGCAAGUCUCCUGUUAAAUUCAGCGACUCAAUCGUUGAGCCGCGGGAGAUACUACUAGGCUAGGAGGCGGGAGAGGUCGACGGUAUUCCCGGGGAGGGGUGAAAUCCUAUAAUCCCGGGAGGACCACCAGUGGCGAAGGCUGUCGGCUAGAACGCGCUCGACGGUGAGGGACGAAAGCUGGGGGAGCGAACCGGAUUAGAUACCCGGGUAGUCCCAGCUGUAAACGAUGCGGGCUAGGUGUUGAGGUGGCUACGAGCCACUUCAGUGCCGCAGGGAAGCCAUUAAGCCCGCCGCCUGGGGAGUACGGCCGCAAGGCUGAAACUUAAAGGAAUUGGCGGGGGAGCACCACAAGGCGUGAAGCUUGCGGUUCAAUUGGAUUCAACGCCGGGA
rnacentral:rRNA from 1 species